AUACGGAAGGUCCGGGCGUUAUCCGGAUUUAUUGGGUUUAAAGGGAGCGCAGGCCGUAUGGUAAGCGUGUUGUGAAAUGCCGUGGCUCAACCAUGGCACUGCAGCGCGAACUGCCGUACUUGAGUACGCUGGAGGUAGGCGGAAUUCGUGGUGUAGCGGUGAAAUGCUUAGAUAUCACGAAGAACCCCGAUUGCGAAGGCAGCCUACCGUAGCGGCACUGACGCUGAGGCUCGAAAGCGUGGGUAUC
rnacentral:rRNA from 1 species